CACUAGGACCUCUUUAGGAACCCUUCCUCAAAAGAUCUCACCACACACAAAUGAGAUUUUAUGUUCAACACAUGAAUAAUCUGAUUUGUAGGAUAAGUAUCUCAUACUUUUCUUUUUUCUUCCUCUCUUCCUUUCUAUUUUUCUCUAUCUUUUUCUUUCUAUUUUCACUUCAGAUUUUUACCAUCUCUUCCUCAUCUAAUCUCACAUCCAAAAUAAUUUUUGGAUUAAUUUUAUGCCAUAUGGGGUGUCCCUUAUAUAAGGGAUGAAGGGGCGUCACACAAGACACCAAGGGGCGCCAACUUUUGGCAUCCCAACUCCC
rnacentral:lncRNA from 1 species